rnacentral:rRNA from 1 species
AUCCCUCCAAUAGGUAAUGCUUAGGGAGGAGCUUGCGUCACAUUAGUUAGUUGGCAGGGUAAAGGCCUACCAAGACUAUGAUGUGUAGCUGGACUGAGAGGUUGAACAGCCACAUUGGGACUGAGACACGGCCCAAACUCCUACGGGAGGCAGCAGUAGGGAAUUUUCGGCAAUGGAGGAAACUCUGACCGAGCAACGCCGCGUGAACGAUGAAGUAUUUCGGUAUGUAAAGUUCUUUUAUUGAAGAAGAAAAAAUAGUGGAAAAACUAUCUUGACGAUAUUCAAUGAAUAAGCCCCGGCAAACUAUGUGCCAGCAGCCGCGGUAAUACAUAGGGGGCGAGCGUUAUCCGGAAUUAUUGGGCGUAAAGGGUGCGUAGGCGGUUUAAUAAGUCUAUAGUUUAAUUUCAGUGCUUAACACUGUCCUGCUAUAGAAACUAUUAGACUAGAGUGAGAUAGAGGCAAGUGGAAUUCCAUGUGUAGCGGUAAAAUGCGUAAAUAUAUGGAGGAACACCAGAGGCGUAGGCGGCUUGCUGGGUCUUUACUGACGCUGAGGCACGAAAGCGUGGGGAGCAAACAGGAUUAGAUACCCUGGUAGUCCACGCCGUAAACGAUGAGUACUAAGUGUCGGGAUUACUCGGUACUGAAGUUAACACAUUAAGUACUCCGCCUGAGUAGUACGUACGCAAGUAUGAAACUUAAAGGAAUUGACGGGACUCCGCACAAGCGGUGGAUCAUGUUGUUUAAUUCGAAGAUACACGAAAAGCAUACCCAGUUCUUGACAUACUCUGCAAAGCUGUAGAAACACAGUGGAGGGGAGGGGACUGGUAUAGAAAAAAUACGCAAUAAAAUAU